rnacentral:lncRNA from 1 species
CCGAAGGGUGUGAUGAAAGCUCAGGCAGCGAUUUGGCUCUGGGAAUCCCAGGGCUCCCACUGCUCACAACCAGCAGUACAGCCCAGCUGUCUGCAGCCCCGGGGGACUUCACUGUGUUUACGCGAAUGGUCAUAUGGUAACCUCUUCAGCUUACAGGCAGGCUGCAUGGUUACCUCAUCUGCAGUCCAAUGACCUCAUCCACCUAAAAUGUAGCAAGUGUGAGGGGGGUGGGAUGGGGAUCAGAGCAGGGCCAGCCUCUCACUGCAGCCUGGGAGAGGUUGUGCUCUGCAUUGGCUCAGAUAAUCAGUCCUAGAGUUGUUCACUUAGGAAUUAUUUCCAUCCAGGUGCUGACUCAGCCAUUGAGACAUGUUAUCCAAGGAGUGGAGCUGGGAGGUGCCUGUGAGGACUGUGAGGGCCCACACCUGGGUGUUGCUUAUCUUGGGGGGUUUUCACCUCCUCUGCAAGAAGGGCCGCUGACCACAGGGCUCUGUAAAGUUGCUACCUGCCUUGCCGUAUUUUUCAGAACCCACCUCCAAAAUGUUGGUACACAACAGGAUACAAAAGCACACACAAAGGGGAAAGAAAGAAGACCCAGCAGACAUGAGUGAAAACAGCUGCCUGCACAAGUUGUCCCCUAACAGGUACAGCCAAGAGUCAGAAGCACAGAGGGAGCUGGGGAAGCGACAUUUCUUACAGAGCCCACUGCUGUCCCUGUGUGAAGUGGCUCAUAUCAGCUCUCGAUUCUAUGCCGGUGUUCUGGAUUUCCUCUUGAGAUGUGCAUUUGUAUCAGCCAUCCUGUCCCCUGUGCCUCUGACGAGCUCCCUUCUGGAUGGCCUGCUGUCAUGCUGAGAUGACCCUUCACUAACAUCUGAGAAGUCCCUUUGCUGUUCUACGGUGUGGAAAACUUGUUUCCUCCAUCUCAUGUCUUCUUCCUUGCUUAAUUCCUUUGUUUAAUGAAACAAAUUAAUUCCUUUGUUAAUGAAACUUCCCAAUAGUUUCCUAAGAAAAGUGUGUAAGUGGUCAACUAUUUGCAACCUAAUAUGUCUGAAAAUUCUACAUAUACUUUUAACAUGUAGUUUGAUUGGGUAGAUGAGUCCAGUGUGGAAAUAUUUUUUCAAAAAUUAGAAGCUAUUGCACUAUUGUCUUGUAGUAUGGUGUGUUGCUUUUGAGAAGUUGUAAGCCAUUUUUUUUUAAUCCUUUGUGUGUUUAUAUCUUUUCUUCUGUUUUUGCACCUCACAACCUUUUAUUUAUUUUUUCUCAUCAAUGCAAUAAACUUUCAUGAUGACAGGGCUUGUGUGGGUCAUGCUGUUCAAUUCUGGGAAAUUUCCUUGACUGA